AAGCACUCGAAAGGAAGUCAAGCUGGGGAAGAGCCUCCUUGGGUACGCAGAACAAAGUCACAGUGCCCACGGGAAGGCAGUGCCGUGUGAUGAGGAGCUGCGCCAGGGCUGGAGAAAGCCUGAGUCCUGCUGCAUCCCGAAGGAAGCAGAGAUGAUGGGCUUGUGUGACUUCAAGCAUAAGAAACAACUGCUUCUGAAAGGAAAUUUCUUUUGCAAUGCCUCCAAAAGUGACAUCCAUUGAAAAAGUCUCACCUCUCUAAGCAGGCACUGUACAUAUUCAACUGAAGAGAGCCUUACAGAUUUGUUCCUGCUAAGAAGCUAGCGUGACGUUACCACAGUGUUGCUCCGUCAGCGGGCAGUGGCACAUAGCAGGCAUGGACCCAGGCAUGCAGUACAGCCAGCACACAGCCCUGCCGAGAGCCCACCAUGCACAUCUCUGCCUUGCUUCACCACUUUGGCCCAAGCUCCUGAGCCAAUGUCUCUGUCCCACAUUCAGCUCCAAGCAUUCUGAAGAAUGUCGAGGAGCAGAGUGUGAGUGGCUGUGAAAUUAAGUUGGGCCUCAGGAGAGCAGUCUAUAAUUGUCACAAGGUUCCUGUGCGGCCAUUGCAAGGUGGGCUUUCUGCGUGCCUUAUUGCUGCAGUUGGUGUUAUACAGCACAGCAGCAGCAAAGCCGUGAAUGCAUACACAAGAUAUGUCCUCUGAUAUGACAUAUCCCAUCGGUAACUCUUGCAUACCUGAAGAUAUUCCAAUUAUAUAACCACCUCUGGAAACAGAGAGGAAUAAGACCUGGGAUUACAUCUCUGAUGCAGUGAGCUGCAGCACAACCUAGAAGGGUUGAUCCAUUGCCCACCAAAGAUCACCUUCUGCUCACUAGGACAUCAAACCUCACAGCAUCCUCAUACGAUGAGAACCUUUUGCUGGAUCCCCGCUUGGGAGCAAGUUCUUGCUGAUUGAGAAGCUCAUGAGAUACAUCUCAUUUCCCUGGAGGUCCUCAGGGAGGCAGCGGUCAGACAAUCCUUUCCUAGCCUACUUUGGGCAACGCUGGUGGUACAGCACUGCUGGCACUGCAUGUGAGCUGCUGUGCUGGUACUGGGCUCCUUGGGCAGAGCGUGAUUCAGCCUUCAGUAUUACAGCAGUCAUUAUUCCAAAGGAGCCCGCAGUUUGGGACCAAACAGUGAUGGUCACAGAUACUGAAUCAACUGGAUAAAGCACCAGCCAAAUACAUUUCUGUGAAGAGUUUCAAAGUUGGUGUUUCCCACUGGAAAAAAUAUAGCACUUUUCAUCUCAUUCUACUUGACCCAGCAAACCGAGCUGGGCUCCAGGAGCGACACACAUCUGAAAUGUGCUGUGAGGUGCAGCCAUGCUCUCCCUGUCACUCAGGAAGCCCACUGCCGGGGCACAGCUGUGGGACAGGAGCUCAUGCCAGUGCCCAGCUGAUGAAGUGAAGGGACCGUGUGCUGCUGGCUCUGAAGUGAAAACAAUCACUCUGAAAUCUUAGAGCUUCCUCAGAAAUGUAAAAAAAAUGGGGUGGGAGCACAAGUUAAUUGUGCUUUUACACACUGUUAUACUUGUCACCGUGCCAGACUCUACAUUUCUUCCAAGGGUGAAAUGAAAACUCCAAAUUCAUCUGGUUAUGAAACAAUCUCAGUAUGAGCACUCAGUGAAGAAUUAUAAAGUGGGAAAGACACAGUCCUGUGUCUCAGCUGGUUGAGAAGGCUCUGAAUUGAUCAAGGCUUAUUCCAGUGUGGAGGAGUUUUCUGGAGUGUACUGAAACCAUUCUGCAUCUGCAUAUCGAAUGCAUAUAAAGAACCGCAGAAAAGCUGAUGUGUUAUGACAUUACUUUGAUUAGGAGAUGAGGCAACUGGCAGAAGGCAUCACUGUAAUUGCAAGAAGUCUCAUUUCUCUGCAUCUAGAAAUUUAGGAAAUGAGUCUGGUUUGUCUGCUUUACACCAGAAUCGACUCAUACAUUGCAAACACGGCGAGAACUCAUUGGCACUAUAGGGUACUCCUGGAGAUAAGAUGGUGGUGGGAGACCUGGAUGAGCAAGGACUGAACACCUCUUUCUCUGCCUACAGUGUAUGGGAACUGUUGAGUCACAGCCUGAACCACUGAUUGAUCACCUGAGGGAAGGAGUGGGUGAGCUGUGGGGGACACAGGUAAAGGCAAUUCAGCUAUGUGACUGUAAGGGCUGGAACAAGGUUCCACUCCUCCUAGACCCCAUUUAAGGGCUGACUGCCACUGGGAAAAGAGCUCUUUCUGGAGAUCGCUCCUUUGUGGAGUCUUUCAUUAUGAGCCUGAAUCUUUGGAUACAGGUGAACAUUCCUUCUCUGUCUGUUCCUUUGCCAUCUCGUUAUGAUACUCUUUCCAACUGUACAUUUGUUGACUGUACAUACAGUAAUGCAGCUGAGAUACUCGAAGCUAUUUGUAAGCUUAGCUGGAGACAGCCCUACUCUCUGUUAGUCAUGAGACUAAUGAAGUGCAGUGCCAAUUUAAAAUCAGGCUAACCCUUAUGUUUCUGUCCUCUGUGCUUCCAUGUGCUUCAUUGAGGCUGGAAGUAUAAGGUCAGUCCUGAUUAGCAUCACCAUGAAAGGAGAACCAGUCCAAAAUAACAGUCUCAUUGUACAAGUAGUGUUUUAUUUUUAUUUUAUUUUUAUUGUUAUUAGAGAUAAGCCGAAGAGUCAAAG